UACUAGGGGUGCAAGCGUUGUCCGGAAUCAUUGGGCGUAAAGGGUGCGUAGGCGUCCAGGAAAGUUAUUUGUUAAAUCCUUCGGCUUAACCGAAGAAAUGCAAGUAAAACUAUCUGGAUAGAAUUUAAGAGAGGAAAAUGGAAUUCCUGGUGUAGCGGUGACAUGCGUAGAUAUCAGGAGGAACACCUAUGGCGAAGGCAGUUUUCUGGCUUAAAAUUGACGCUGAGGCACGAAAGCGUGGGGAGCAAACAGGAUUAGAUACCCGUGUA
rnacentral:rRNA from 1 species